rnacentral:rRNA from 1 species
UUGACCUCAAAUCGGGUGGGACUACCCGCUGAACUUAAGCAUAUCAAUAAGCGGAGGAAAAGAAACUAACAAGGAUUCCCCUAGUAACGGCGAGUGAAGAGGGAAAAGCUCAAAUUUUGAAUCUGGUGUCUUUGGCGCCCGAGUUGUAAUCUAGGGAAGUGUUUUCCGCGUUGGACCGUUCACAAGUUUUCUGGAAUGAGGCUUCAUAGAGGGUGAGAAUCCCGUAUCUGGAACGGACUACCAAUGCUCUGUGAUACACUCUCAACGAGUCGAGUUGUUUGGGAAUGCAGCUCAAAAUGGGUGGUAAAUUCCAUCUAAAGCUAAAUAUUGGCGAGAGACCGGUAGCGAACAAGUACCGUGAGGGAAAGAUGAAAAGCACUUUGGAAAGAGAGUGAAACAGUACGUGAAAUUGUUGAAAGGGAAGCGUUUGAAGUCAGUCAUAUCUGUCGGGAUUCAGCUUGGCUUUUGCCUUGUGUACUUUCCGUCCGAUGGGUCAGCAUCAAUUCAGACCGAGGGAAAAAGGCGUUUGGAAUGUGGCUGUCUUCGGGCAGUGUUAUAGCCUCGCGUUGUAUGUCUCGGUUGGGAUUGAGGAACGCAGCGCGCCACUUAAUUGGCCGGGGGUUAAGUCCUCUCGUAUCGCGCUUAGGAUGCUGG